GUUUGAAGAUAAUGUUUGUAUGAUUGUUUCCAACAAAUCUGUCAGAACUCAUCCACCCAAAUGUGUGCCCUUCGACACAUCCACCUUAGCUUUAUAAAAAGCUAGACGUCUCUUAAAGUCAAACCUGGUGACUAAACAGGCCCAGCUACAUAUGGAUACACAACAUGAUCACUUACCCAGUAGGCACCGUUCAAUAUGGUUAGACAACAUGAUCACUACACAGCAGGACCUUUUCAAUAUGGAUUCCUAACAUGGCCAUGACUGAUACGCCAAGCCAAUUUGCAUGUAUCCGAACUGCAUCCACUAUCCCUGAAGAAACACUCUGAUGGAGGUGUGGACAGGGUUGGAGAGGUUAGUUGGAGGGUCAUGAGGAAAAGAGAAGAAAGAAAAUACUGCCAAUUUCAUAAGCCUCAG
rnacentral:lncRNA from 1 species